GGACGAACGCUGGCGGCGUGCCUAACGCAUGCAAGUCGAGCGAGGAGAUUCCCUUCGGGGAUGAACCUAGCGGCGGACGGGUGAGUAACACGUGGGCAACCUGCCUUAUAGAGGGGAAUAGCCUUCCGAAAGGAAGAUUAAUACCGCAUAACAUUACAUUUUCGCAUGAAGAAGUAAUUAAAGGAGUAAUCCGCUAUAAGAUGGGCCCGCGGCGCAUUAGCUAGUUGGUGAGGUAACGGCUCACCAAGGCGACGAUGCGUAGCCGACCUGAGAGGGUGAUCGGCCACAUUGGGACUGAGACACGGCCCAGACUCCUACGGGAGGCAGCAGUGGGGAAUAUUGCACAAUGGGGGAAACCCUGAUGCCAGCAACGCCGCGUGAGUGAUGAAGGUCUUCGGAUCGUAAAGCUCUGUCUUCAGGGACGAUAAUGACGGUACCUGAGGAGGAAGCCACGGCUAACUACGUGCCAGCCGCCGC
rnacentral:rRNA from 1 species